rnacentral:rRNA from 1 species
GACGAACGCUGGCGGCGUGCUUAACACAUGCAAGUGGAGCGACGAACCAGGGCUUGCCCUGGGGCAAAGCCGCGAACGGGUGAGUAACACGUGGGUAACCUGCCCCGAUGAUUGGGACAACUCCGGGAAACCGGAGCUAAUACCAAAUGUGCUCGCCCCCUCCAAGGGGGGUGAGGAAAGGAAGCUUCGGCCUCCGCAUCGGUCUGGGCCCGCGGCCCAUUAGCUUGUUGGUGGGGUAAAGGCUCACCAAGGCGACGAUCCGUAGCUGGUUUGAGAGGACGACCAGCCACACUGGGACUGAGACACGGCCCAGACUCCUACGGGAGGCAGCAGUGGGGAAUUUUGGACAAUGGGCGAAAGCCUGAUCCAGCCAUUCCGCGUGCAGGAUGAAGGCCUUCGGGUUGUAAACUGCUUUUGUACGGAGCGAAAAGGCUCUCUCUAAUACAGGGGGCUCAUGACGGUACCGUAAGAAUAAGCACCGGCUAACUACGUGCCAGCAGCCGCCGCCGUAA